ensembl:snoRNA SNORD18 Small nucleolar RNA SNORD18
CAGCGCUGAUGAUUCCAUCCUUUGGUCCGUGUUUCUGAAGCAUGUGAUUGUCCAGGAUGUUCUGAUGCU